GCAUGAGAUGGAUAUUUAGAUUUAAAAUAAAAGACGUAAUGUACUACGAAAAGUUAUGAGUUAAUCAAUUAAAUUCAUAAAUUUCUUAAUAAGGUAAACUCCUAAAGUUGUUCUACAAAGGCCUAUUAUAUUAGCGAAAUGACACAUCUAAGUAGCUAGAAUAAAAAAUCAACCGAGAGUUCAUAAUUAGGUGGCGAGCCAACAUGAAUUAGAGAUAAAGCUUAAAAGGUAAUAGAAAAAUUAUGAAUGAUUUACUAUAAAAGGUUUUAGUCCUGUAUAUUAACCUUUAAGUAUAAAAAAAAUAAGAAAAUCAUUGACAUUUUCUAAAAACUGGGGUACCAUACCUCAACUCUAAUAUUAUUUUAUAAUCGAUAGCGAAAAGUACUGUGAAGGAAAAAUGAAAAGAAAGUUUAUUCAAAAACUUAUAGUGAAAAGACUUUGAAAUCUGAUGUAUUCAUUAGCUCAAAAUUUCGUUAGAAAAACGAAUUAACGAGGUUCCUUUUGUAUCAUGAGUCAACGACUUUAUAAUCGUAGCAAGCUUAAGUUGUUAAAUGUAAGCGUAGCAAAUACAUGUUUUAAAAAAGCUUUUUUUUAAUGAGUUGCGGUUAUAAUACCCGAAUUCAAGUGAUUUAGCCAAGAACAGACUAAAUAUAUAGUAAUAUAUGUGAGAAGGUCAAACUAAUGGUUGUUGCAAAAACCUUAGGUGAUUUUUGGCUCGGAGUGAAAGAUUAAUCAAACUUGAUAAUAGCUGGUUUUUUGCGAAAAAUAUUUAGGUAUUGCAUAAAUAAAUCUACAUAAUAAGUGGUAGAGCACUGUUUAAAUUAGGGGGAUUAAACUCUUACCGCAUUUAUAUAAACUCCGAAUACUUAUAUUUGUACUUUGUAGUCAGACUUUACGUGAUAAGAUGUAUAAGUCAAAAGGGAAACAGCCCAGAUUAAUAGCUUAGGUUUCUAAAAAAUAUGCUUAGUAAAAAGGUCGUAAAAAAAUUAAGAUGACUAGGAAGGUAAGCUUGGAAGUAGCUAUCCUCUAAAAAGUGUGUAAAAACUUACUAGUUGAAUUUAUAAUUAAAAAAUUUUUUUGCAUCGAAAAUUCAGAGAAUUUAAGCUAUUUGCCGAUGCUUUAAACUUUUAACUUUAUGUGAAAAGCAAACGAGUAUAAAAGUGGUAGCAAAACGUUUCUUUGUUCAUUAAAGGUACAUUGUAAAAUUUACUGAAGAAAAAGAAAGUGAGAAUGUUGAUAUUAGUAACGUGCAUAAUGUUAUAAACAUUAUUACCGUAUAAUUCAAGGUUUUUUCCGCAAUGUUUGUCAGCGGAAAAAUAAAGUCGAUUUCUAAAAAUACUUAAGCGAAAGCAGUUUUAAAUGGUAAUUUUUGAAUAAAAACUACUAAAAGACGACGCGUAAAUAUUAAAACAAAUAAAAACACAAUUUUUUGUUCGAAUUUAAUUUAACGUCAAGAAAUAAUCUUUUAUUUAUAUAAUUCGUACUUAGCCAACAAAGGAGAAUUUGUUUUAUAGAACAAAGGUAAUUGAGUUAAUCAUUCUUAAGGAACUAGGCAAAUUAAUUCUGUAACUUCGGGAAAAAGAAUACCUUAUACAAGGUGUCACAAAAUAACGAAUAGCGACUAUUUAACAAAAAUACAGGGUUUUGCAAAAUUGUAAAAUAUAGUAUAAGACCUGAAGCCUGCCCAGUGCUAGCAUAUUAAAUGUAAAAGUAAAUGCUGUUAAAUGAAAUACUAGUAAACGGAGGUCGUAACUCUAACGAUCAUAAAGUAGCAAAAUUCCUAGGCAAGUAAUUUUUGUCCUGCAUGAAUGGCUUAACGACUUUUCGACUGUCUCAAGAGUGAGCUCAGUGAAAUUAGAAUUUGUGUGAAGAUACACAAAAAUUAAAGUAAGACGAAAAGACCCUAUAGACCUUUACUAUAUUUUUACGUUGUUAUAAAAUUUUUCUUGUGUAGUUUAAGUGGGAGCAAUCACUUGCGUAACUGAAAGACCACUCGUGUUAAAAUUUUGAACUAAUUUAAAUUAAAAAAGCGUAAAAUUGGUAGUUUCGUUGGGGCGAU
rnacentral:rRNA from 1 species